CACUGCUAUCGGGGUUCGAUUAAGCCAUGCGAGUCGAGAGGGUUCAGACCCUCGGCGCACUGCUCAGUAACACGUGGAUAACCUACCCUGAGGAGGGGGAUAACCCCGGGAAACUGGGGAUAAUACCUCAUAGGUUUCAGAUGCUGGAAUGCUCUGAAACCGAAAUGCUCCGGCGCCUCAGGAUGGAUCUGCGGCCGAUUAGGUUGUUGUUGGGGUAACGGCCCAACAAGCCCGUCAUCGGUACGGGUUGUGAGAGCAAGAGCCCGGAGAUGGAUUCUGAGACACCAAUCCAGGCCCUACGGGGCGCAGCAGGCGCGAAACCUUUACAAUGCGAGCAAUCGUGAUAAGGGAACCCCGAGUGCCUGAAACCAGGCUGUUCAGGUGUUUAAAAAGCACCUGGAGAAAGGGCCGGGCAAGACCGGUGCCAGCCGCCGCGGUAAUACCGGCGGCUCGAGUGGUGGCCGCUAUUAUUGGGCUUAAAGCGUUCGUAGCUGGGUUGUUAAGUCUCUUGGGAAAUCUCACGGCUCAACCGUGAGGCGACUAAGAGAUACUGGCAAUCUUGGGACCGGGAGAGGUGAGAGGUACUCCAGGGGUAGGAGUGAAAUCCUGUAAUCCUUGGGGGACCACCGGUGGCG
rnacentral:rRNA from 1 species